AUUGAACGCUGGCGGCAUGCCUUACACAUGCAAGUCGAACGGCAGCAUGAUCUAGCUUGCUCGAUUGAUGGCGAGUGGCGAACGGGUGAGUAAUACAUCGGAACGUGCCCUGUAGUGGGGGAUAACUAGUCGAAAGAUUAGCUAAUACCGCAUACGACCUGAGGGUGAAAGUGGGGGACCGCAAGGCCUCAUGCUUUAGGAGCGGCCGAUGUCUGAUUAGCUAGUUGGUGGGGUAAAGGCCCACCAAGGCGACGAUCAGUAGCUGGUCUGAGAGGACGAUCAGCCACACUGGGACUGAGACACGGCCCAGACUCCUACGGGAGGCAGCAGUGGGGAAUUUUGGACAAUGGGGGCAACCCUGAUCCAGCAAUGCCACGUGUGUGAAGAAGGCCUUCGGGUUGUAAAGCACUUUUGUCCGGAAAGAAAUCGCACUUACUAAUAUUAGGUGUGGAUGACGGUACCGGAAGAAUAAGGACCGGCUAACUACGUG
rnacentral:rRNA from 1 species